CGCAGUAGCUCAGCUGGUUAGAGCGUCGGCCUGUCACGCCGAAGGUCGUGGGUUCGAGCCCCAUCUGCG
rnacentral:tRNA from 1 species